rnacentral:rRNA from 1 species
AGCGAACGCUGGCGGCAGGCCUAACACAUGCAAGUCGAACGAACCUACCGUGGUUAGUGGCUGACGGGUGAGUAACACGUGGGAACGUUCCGGUAGGCACGGAAUUACUCAGUGACACUUGGGCUAAUACCGAAUGUGCCAUUCUAGGACAAGAUUCAUCGCCCUUAGGACGGCGGGCGUCCGAUUAGCUAGUUGGGUUAGGUAAUGGCUCACCAAGGCGACAAUCAGUAGCUGGUCUGUGAGGAUGAUCAGACACAUUGGGAGUGAGACACAGUCCAAAAUCCUACGGGAGGCAGCAGUGGGGAAUCUUGCGAAAUGGGCGAAAGCCUGACGCAGCCAUGCCGGGUGAAUGAUGAAGGUCUUAGGAUAGUAAAAUUCUUUCACCGGGGACGAUAAUGACGGUACCCGGAGAAGAAGCCCCGGCUAACUUCGUG